UACGUAGGGUGCAAGCGUUGUCCGGAAUUAUUGGGCGUAAAGAGCUCGUAGGCGGUCUGUCGCGUCGGCUGUGAAAACCUGGGGCUUAACUCCGGGCCUGCAGCCGAUACGGGCAGACUAGAGUUCGGCAGGGGAGACUGGAAUUCCUGGUGUAGCGGUGAAAUGCGCAGAUAUCAGGAAGAACACCCGUGGCGAAGGCGGCUCUCUGGGACGGUACUGACGCUGAGACGCGAAAGCGUGGGGAGCGAACAGG
rnacentral:rRNA from 1 species